AACCUCCGCAAUGUGAGAAAUCGCGACGGGGGGAUCCCAAGUGCCAUUCUUAACGGGAUGGCUUUUCUUAAGUGUAAAAAGCUUUUGGAAUAAGAGCUGGGCAAGACCGGUGCCAGCCGCCGCGGUAACACCGGCAGCUCUAGUGGUAGCUGUUUUUAUUGGGCCUAAAGCGUUCGUAGCCGGUUUGAUAAGUCACUGGUGAAAUCCUGUAGCUUAACUGUGGGAAUUGCUGGUGAUACUGUUGAACUUGAGGUCGGGAGAGGUUAGCGGUACUCCCAGGGUAGAGGUGAAAUUCUGUAAUCCUGGGAGGACCACCUGUGGCGAAGGCGGCUAACUGGAACGAACCUGACGGUGAGGGACGAAAGCCAGGGGCGCGAACCGGAUUAGAUACCCGGGUAGUCCUAGCCGUAAACGAUGCGGACUUGGUGUUGGGAUGGCUUUGAGCCGCUCCGGUGCCGAAGGGAAGCUGUUAAGUCCGCCGCCUGGGAAGUACGGUCGCAAGACUGAAACUUAAAGGAAUU
rnacentral:rRNA from 1 species